UNCCCCUUUGAUGCUUCUGAGCCUGCAA
rnacentral:piRNA from 1 species